ACAAAUGAAAGUUAAUAAGCCAAGACAUAUUUGAAAUAAUAUCAGCUCCCUCUGCUACACGGUGCUUCUUAUUGUUUAACUAGGCACUCUUUAAUUUGAAGUGACAUUGUCAACAAGUUUGAGGUCAAAAAUUCAGAUCUUGUGAAAACAAGGAUUUACAAAGCUUUAGCUGAAUAAAAACAUUUUCAUUAUUACUUUUAUGUCAGUGGAAGCAAAUUCUUCUUAAACAAGUCCAGGCAGUAAUGGCUGAGAACAACAUUAUGCUAGUAGAUGCAAACCAUAAAUUAAUCUAAUUAGAAAUGGUCUAAUAUUUAAAAUGAAAGCAACCAGUCUGCAGUCACUGUUCAAACUGAGCAAAAUGCAGAAGGUGAACAAACAGCAUAAAUGAUUAUAUGUAAAUUCAAUUUUUAAAAAAUUCUUUCAGUUUCAAUAAAGUGAGAAAGAUAAGGAAUCAAAAAAUAAGUUAGCUUUCUUUUAAAGCUGCCAUAGAAAAAAAAGCAUUUAUUUUAAAUGUGGAAAUUCAGACCCAUAUCCUGUAAAAUUCAGAUGCAUAUCCUGUAAACACUUACAUAUGCGCCAAAUGGGAUUACUCAGAUAUGUAACUUUACAUAUGUAAAUUUAAGCACAUGGGCAUAAGUGCUUAGAGAAUCAGGGCCUAAGUUUUAUUUUAAACAAAGUUUGUCACAUGGAAAGAAAAGUGAAAUAUAUGUGCAAUAGCUGAGAGUAAUCCUAAUUAAAGAGCCCGGAUAAUUACAGCCUGAUAGAAUAAAGAUAUUUAUACCAUAUUCAGUGCAAACUUAAUAGUAAAUGUAAGGCAUUCUGAUUGUUCAGCUCGGGGAAUUUAUAAAAUGACAAAAUGCCUUAUCAGAUGGUUUCAGGUAUAAUUUGCUGGCAUUUAUUUCAUUACACUGCAACAUAGUUGGGUGUCUUACAUGUUCACAGCAAACAUUUAAAUGUCUCAUAAAAAAUACCUGUGUUCUUAAAAGGCGUAAUCCAAGUCUGCUUUGCUACUAUUAGUGAAUACUAGUUGACAGAAAUGGGCAAUUAAACUGAUAAAGAGCAAUCCAUUUUUCUUACUUGUCUUGAAAUGUAAAUACUAGUUUUCUUUGACAGUAUUUUGUUAUAUUUCUUAAUAAAGAGCAAAGAGACAUGGCUGCAGAAGGAAUUAAUUAACUGGGCUGUAUCACUACACCACAAGUAUGCAGACAGAAACUGACAUCAAGUUGAUUUGGCAAUGUGGUUACUGGGUUGUGACCGCUGAUAACUGGGAAUGUCCAUUUGAUGCAACUGGUUUUACACUGAACACAUACUGGCCUUCCAUAAUUGCUACUGGAGACCUGAGGAUCUUCCUACUUUACAUCAUCCCCACUUGAGGUGCUGAGUUGAGCCAAGCACACUACCUUUAGGGCAUUUCCAGCACCUACUAAGCCCAGGGUCAGCAGAUGAAAUAAGCCUAUUUCUAAAACAGCCUUGUAAAACUGGCAUAAAUAUAUACCAGCUCAUGCAGAAAGUCUUGCCUGACUUUGCAAUAGUGAUUGAUCAAACUAAUAGCAUCUUAUUUGUCCAUCGAAAGCUCUCCUGGGGUUUCUCCCAUGUUGAUAAUGCCAGCACCCAAUCUUUGCCUCCCUUUGAAGCUGGAAUCAAGAGUCUGUACUCCUGCAACUGUACAACUACACACAAUUAGAGUAAAUGAACUGUUUCAGUAAGUUAGCAGUAACCACAGAGAAGAUGGCCUUGACAUAUGCAUAUGCUGUUGAGAAGCAUCUAUGGCUGGACACUCAGCAAUUGCAAAAGUUUCCAGAGCAGCUGACCUCCAUGUGUAAACGCCAUGUCCUGAUUCUAUGCUGCCCUGCACCUUGGGUAGUCAUUUCAAGCUGAGGAAAGUGCAUGUAAACCUCUAAAAGCCUGAUAUGUUCUAUCUGAGCUAAGCUUUAUGCAAGAAUAGGGGAAAUGGAGGGGGGAGGAGAGAAAAUGGCUUUACAUCACCUAUGUACCCCUAUAUUAUGAGGCUGUCCAGGAACCUGCUUGACCCCUGAUAUACAUUAAAGUGGCCACAGGGCUGCUCUAAUUUUUGUUUGUUUUCCCACAGGCUCUUCAAUCGAGCAGAGAAAGAUGUGCAGUCUGGAUUACAAUGCACAUGCACCAUAAAGAAAAAAACCAUGAGAGGAUUUCCAGGCAGCCACUUCAUGCUUGCAUGGGUAGUUUGAGAGAAUGUGUCAAUGCCAUUGCCUUUGGUGAAACCCCACCACUGAUGUUUCUAGUCCGAACCUUUGUACACCAGUGCAAUA